AUGCGGCGGUUGCAUCAGAACACUAAUCUACCAUGGCUCCUGGUGGGAGAUUUGAAUGAGAUACAAUUCCUUAAUGAGAAAGAUGGGGGCAACCCUCGACCGCAGCAAUACAUGCAUGCGUUUCAGUCUGCUAUUGAUGAAUGCGAACUCAGGAACAUGGGGUUUGUAGGAGAUCAGUUCACGUGGCAGCGAGGCCGGAUUAGAGAGAGACUAGAUCGUGGGCUGAUAAAUGAUGCAUGGUCGAUGCUAUAUCCACAUGCAGUUUUGCAGAACUUGAAUUAUAACCACUCCGACCAUAGACCCUUAUGUGUGGAUACGGAGUAUUAUACCCAGAUAGGAGACAAUGGCGGACACACUAAACAGUUUGAGGCACGUUGGUUAAGAGAACAAUCUUUCUCGGAUGUGGUACAGGAGGCGUGGGUCUCGGCGGGUGCUGCCCCGGGUUUAACCACCGUCCAUGAGAAAUUAAACCGCAUGCAUAAUAUAUUUCAUGAUUGGGAUCAAAGGGUGCUCAAGAAGCCUAAGAAAAGGCUACAGAAGGCACAGAAAGAGCUUGAGCAAAUUAUGACUGGACCCAUCAAUGAUGAAAGUGAAGAGAAGAGGAAAGAGUUGUCGGAACUGAUUGAGUAUUUGCUGGAACUUGAGGAAAUUUAUUAUAUGCAGCGCUCCCGAGCGGGGUGGCUAAAAAAUGGAGACCGUAAUACGGGAUUUUUCCAAGCCUAUGCUUCUGCGAGGAGAAAGAGGAAUUUUAUUAAAAAACUGAAAGAUGGAGAUGGUAAUGUGAUAGAAGGUACGGCUGCUCUUAACCCACAUGUACAGAGUUAUUUUCAUAGCUUAUUUACUUCAGAGGUGCAACAUGUGGAUCCUUCUAUUACAAAUAAAGUCCAAACAAAGGUGACUGAAUAA
rnacentral:rRNA from 1 species